rnacentral:rRNA from 1 species
CCUACGGGUGGCAGCAGUGAGGAAUAUUGGUCAAUGGCCGAGAGGCUGAACCAGCCAAGUCGCGUGAGGGAUGACGGCCCUACGGGUUGUAAACCUCUUUUGCCGGGGAGCAAAGUGCGGGACGCGUCCGGCCUCGAGAGUACCCGGAGAAAAAGCAUCGGCUAACUCCGUGCCAGCAGCCGCGGUAAUACGGAGGAUGCGAGCGUUAUCCGGAUUUAUUGGGUUUAAAGGGUGCGCAGGCGGAGGCUUAAGUCAGCGGUAAAAUUGUGGGGCUCAACCUCGUCCCGCCGUUGAAACUGGGUGCCGUGAGUGGGCGAGAAGUACGCGGAAUGCGUGGUGUAGCGGUGAAAUGCAUAGAUAUCACGCAGAACUCCGAUUGCGAAGGCAGCGUACCGGCGCCCAACUGACGCUGAUGCACGAAGGCGUGGGUAUCGAACAGGAUUAGAUACCCGAGUAGUC